rnacentral:misc_RNA from 1 species
GGCGAUGAUGGUGGCGCCGGAGUUACGGCGCCGUCGGCGGUGGCGGUUAGUGGGAGAGGGGUGGUUGUGAGGAAACCUGGGUUGAAGAUGGAAUUAGGAGACAGGAAGGCGAAAGUAGAGAAGAUGUUUGGGUUGAUGGAUGAGUUCUUGAAGAAUGAUUCAAUUAGUUUACAGAAGGAUAUUCUUGAUCAUGUUGAAUUUACUGUAGCUAGGUCAA